GACGAACGCUGGCGGCGCGCUUAACACAUGCAAGUCGAACGGAAAGGCCUGCUUUCCCUUGUGGAUUGCGGGUACUCGAGUGGCGAACGGGUGAGUAACACGUGAGUGAUCUGCCCCCAACUUGGGUAUAAGCCUGGGAAACUGGGUCUAAUUCCCGAUAGGACUGCAGGGUGGUGCCUGUGGUGGAAAACGAUUUUCUAGUGGUUGGGGAUGAGCUCGCGGCCUAUCAGCUUGUUGGUGGGGUAAUGGCCUACCAAGGCGGCGACGGGUAGCCGGCCGGGGAGGGUGGACGGCCACAUUGGGACUGAGAUACGGCCCAGACUCCUACGGGAGGCAGCAGUGGGGAAUAUUGCACAAUGGGCGGAAGCCUGAUGCAGCGACGCCGCGUGGGGGAUGACGGCCUUCGGGUUGUAAACUCCUUUCGACCGCGAGGAAGCCACCUGGUUGGAAGGGUGGUGACGGUAGUGGUAGAAGAAGCACCGGCUAACUACGUG
rnacentral:rRNA from 1 species